rnacentral:rRNA from 1 species
GACGAACGCUGGCGGCGUGCUUAACACAUGCAAGUCGAACGGAAAGGCCCUGCUUUUGUGGGGUGCUCGAGUGGCGAACGGGUGAGUAACACGUGAGUAACCUGCCCUUGACUUUGGGAUAACUUCAGGAAACUGGGGCUAAUACCGGAUAGGAGCUCCUGCUUCAUGGUGGGGGUUGGAAAGUUUCGGCGGUUGGGGAUGGACUCGCGGCUUAUCAGCUUGUUGGUGGGGUAGUGGCUUACCAAGGCUUUGACGGGUAGCCGGCCUGAGAGGGUGACCGGCCACAUUGGGACUGAGAUACGGCCCAGACUCCUACGGGAGGCAGCAGUGGGGAAUAUUGCACAAUGGGCGGAAGCCUGAUGCAGCAAAGCAGCGUGCGGGAUGACGGCCUUCGGGUUGUAAACCGCUUUCGCCUGUGACGAAGCGUGAGUGACGGUAAUGGGUAAAGAAGCACCGGCUAACUACGUG